rnacentral:rRNA from 1 species
GAUGAACGCUAGCUACAGGCUUAACACAUGCAAGUCGAGGGGUAACGAGAGGAAAGCUUGCUUUCCUUGUCGACGACCGGCGCACGGGUGAGUAACGCGUAUCCAACCUGCCCCCAACUAGGGAAUAACCUUGCGAAAGUAAGACUAAUACCCUAUAAUUUCCUCAGAUGCCAUCUGACGAGGAAUAAAGAUUUAUCGGUUGUGGAUGGGGAUGCGUCUGAUCAGCUUGUUGGCGGGGUAACGGCCCACCAAGGCAACGAUCAGUAGGGGUUCUGAGAGGAAGGUCCCCCACAUUGGAACUGAGACACGGUCCAAACUCCUACGGGAGGCAGCAGUGAGGAAUAUUAGUCAAUGGGCGGAAGCCUGAACCAGCCAAGUAGCGUGCAGGAUGACGGCCCUAUGGGUUGUAAACUCCUUUUAUACAGGAAUAAAGUUAGCCACGUGUGGUUAUUUGUAGGUACUGUAUGAAUAAGGACCGGCUAAUUCCGUGCCAGCCGCCGCCGUAAGAC